GUUUUCACCAAGUAGCUAUCGAUCCACGCUGGGUUAAUAACCCUACAACAACGGUCCAUCAAGCAGUUGUUGCACCAAGCGGUUCUUCUGCUAUUCAAAAUGUUGCAGGCCAGGAACAGCUGGGUAAUGCAAUUGCCAUCUAGUUUAUCGGAGAAACAAGUGAACUGAUUUUUGACAUAAGAUAAAUGAAGAUGCAUGAGACGUUAUAUGUGCGUUGGUGUUGGUAUAUGGUAAUAUAGUUCUGGUCAUCAAUUUCACGAGCUUCCUUUGACUCCCCAAAGGAUGUGGAACACCUAUUUUUAUAUUUUAACUGUGAAUAGGUAACGAUGACAGCAACGGGAAUCAACUUAUAUAAAGAUUCUAUGGGCCUCUUUUUGGACGCCAUCUAGAAUUAAAGAAUGCGUUUGCUAAGUCACUAACAUUAACACCAUCACAAUUGUAGAUAUUGUCCAUCGGAAAGAGUAAAUAUUACAUUCAACGGUUAUCACGGAUUACAAAACGAACAAAUUUGAUACUCAUAAGACGCAGAUCAACAUGGUUGAGAAAAUACUUCGGAAUGUGGUUCCCCGUAUGAGCGGUGCAGAACGAGGGACCUUGCGAGGAGAAUCGUCUAGUUGUUCGGAUGGUACGAAAACCCAAGGGAAAUGUACAUAUUGGCAUACAUUAAAAUAAACCCUUGGCAGUAAACAUUUGAAAUACAAGUCGGUCAUAGCGCCACUGUCCAGGCAAAAUGUUCACUCAUACCACACUGCAUGGUGUAUGCACAUCUUCAUUUGCCCGGAUGGAACAGACAAGGAUGUUAAAAGCCAUUUCGUUUCUUUUCACACUGAUUAUGACAAGAACGCAUUCAUUAAUUUCGGGCAGUGCUUAAA